GACGAACGCUGGCGGCGUGCCUAAUACAUGCAAGUAGAACGCACAGUUUAUACCGUAGCUUGCUACACCAUAGACUGUGAGUUGCGAACGGGUGAGUAACGCGUAGGUAACCUGCCUGGUAGCGGGGGAUAACUAUUGGAAACGAUAGCUAAUACCGCAUAAUAUUAAUUAUUGCAUGAUAAUUAAUUGAAAGGUGCAAUUGCACCACUACCAGAUGGACCUGCGUUGUAUUAGCUAGUAGGUGAGGUAACGGCUCACCUAGGCGACGAUACAUAGCCGACCUGAGAGGGUGAUCGGCCACACUGGGACUGAGACACGGCCCAGACUCCUACGGGAGGCAGCAGUAGGGAAUCUUCGGCAAUGGACGAAAGUCUGACCGAGCAACACCGCGUGAGUGAAGAAGGUUUUCGGAUCGUAAAGCUCUGUUGUAAGAGAAGAACGGGUGUGAGAGUGGAAAGUUCACACUGUGACGGUAUCUUACCAGAAAGGGACGGCUAACUACGUG
rnacentral:rRNA from 1 species